GACGAACGCUGGCGGCGUGCUUAACACAUGCAAGUCGAACGGAAAGGCCCUGCUUUUGUGGGGUGCUCGAGUGGUGAACGGGUGAGUAACACGUGAGUAACCUGCCCUUGACUUUGGGAUAACUUCAGGAAACUGGGGCUAAUACCGGAUAGGAGCUCCUGCUGCAUGGUGGGGGUUGGAAAGUUUCGACGGUUGGGGAUGGACUCGCGGCUUAUCAGCUUGUUGGUGGGGUAGUGGCUUACCAAGGCUUUGACGGGUAGCCGGCCUGAGAGGGUGACCGGCCACAUUGGGACUGAGAUACGGCCCAGACUCCUACGGGAGGCAGCAGUGGGGAAUAUUGCACAAUGGGCGGAAGCCUGAUGCAGCAACGCCGCGUGCGGGAUGACGGCCUUCGGGUUGUAAACCGCUUUCGCCUGUGACGAAGCGUGAGUGACGGUAAUGGGUAAAGAAGCACCGGCUAACUACGUG
rnacentral:rRNA from 1 species